rnacentral:rRNA from 1 species
CCUACGGGGGGCAGCAGUGGGGAAUAUUGGACAAUGGGGGGAACCCUGAUCCAGCCAUGCCGCGUGUGUGAAGAAGGCCCUCGGGUUGUAAAGCACUUUCAGUGAGGAAGAACGCCUGGUGGUUAAUACCCAUCAGGAAAGACAUCACUCACAGAAGAAGCACCGGCUAACUCCGUGCCAGCAGCCGCGGUAAUACGGAGGGUGCGAGCGUUAAUCGGAAUUACUGGGCGUAAAGCGCGCGUAGGUGGCUUGAUAAGCCGGUUGUGAAAGCCCCGGGCUCAACCUGGGAACGGCAUCCGGAACUGUCAAGCUAGAGUGCAGGAGAGGAAGUUAGAAUUCCCGGUGUAGCGGUGAAAUGCGUAGAGAUCGGGAGGAAUACCAGUGGCGAAGGCGGCCUUCUGGACUGACACUGACACUGAGGUGCGAAAGCGUGGGUAGCAAACAGGAUUAGAUACCCGAGUAGUC